rnacentral:rRNA from 1 species
AAGGUUGACCUCGGAUCAGGUAGGGAUACCCGCUGAACUUAAGCAUAU